AUGCGGCAUUACUGGAAGAACUGGCUGGCAGAGAAAAUCGGUAUGGCUGUCAGAAAAGGACAAAAUAAUGAAGCUCUUCAGAAGGGGCUAGAGGGCACAAGGAGGGACUUUCCCAAAACUCAGCACUUGGGGAUACCACCCACCAGGCACUGUCACUUUGCGUACACCUCCACCUCCCCGGGCCUCCCAAAGUCAUCUCAGCUCGCAAGGAUCAACUCUUUCAUGUAUGGAGUGCCCUAAAAGACGUGGAUAAGUUGGCAAAUGAAAUUCAGUGAUGAGAAACACAAACCAGGGGCACAGGGAAUGAGAGAAACUGAGCUGCGUGUGCAGAAUGCUGGGAACUAAACCACUUGCUGCUUGGGAAAAGGACCUUUGAGUCACUGUGGCUAACACACAGAAAAAUGGUUGCACAAGGCUCAGAGAAAAGUUCAAAAGUCUCCGAGAAAGAAAAAGAGAGUGAAACAGAAGACGUCAUGGUUUCACUGGGUAAAUUUAUCAUCCACCUACACUGCAGUUACUGCAGGCAGUUCUGCUGCCCUACCUCAGACAGGGCCGGUUGAGUGAGAGAGAGGUCGGGGAAAGCAGCAGGAUGCUCAGAGGUAUGGAAUGUGAGGAGAAACUAGAGAGGCUGCAAUUUUUUAGCUUGAAAAAGAGAUAAUUGUGAGGAGAUGUGGUAGCUAUAAAACCAAGCCAGCGGGGGGGAAGAUAGAUAGGAAGCACUUACUCAUUAUGCCCUGUGUCAGAAAAAGUAGAAUGAUCAAGCAUCAGGUUUAAAUCAAUACACACAGAGCACAAUUACACUGUAUAAUUCAUUCCCACGGGAUGCUGUGGCAGCCAAAAAAGUAAAUUAAGUCUUAAGAAAACACUAAACAAUUUACAGGGAAUAGCUCAAUCAAGACCUACCGAUGCAACCGUCCAGAUGCUAUCUCCUGAUCUGGAAAUCCCCUACCUGCUGACGGCUGGAAGCUGGAAGGGUGUACCAGAGAAGGCAUCACUUCAUCCACGCUACUGCUGCUCUGUCUUUAACCACGGUCAGAAAUAGGAUGCUGGGUCAGACCGACUGGUACAGGUGCUCAUACUGUCUAGGUCUGCACCCGGGAUGUGAUCUGGGCAACACUCCACAAUGCAACCAGACAGUGAACAUUAUUUAUAAGAGCUAAGUUUUCUGAACCAGCAGGCCUUAACAUUGCAUUAAGUUGACCAGAAGUGUCAGUAAUAAUAAAAUUAAAUACAGAAGCA
rnacentral:lncRNA from 1 species